rnacentral:lncRNA from 1 species
AGCUUAUUCAGAGAAUUAUUUUAAUUUAAUUAUUGUUGCCCAGGUAAAUACCAGCUGCUUUGGAAUCAUUACAGCUGAAGGGGUCAGUGAAUAAUUUACCUUUAACUGUAACAGAGGAAUAUUUCAAGGUUACCAAGAUAGGAAAAGUGUCUUAAACAUCGCAAAUUCAUCUAGCUGUUAUAUUUUAAAGGGAAUGCUAUGUACAGAUACCAGACUAUAGAGUUGUAGCCUGGAGAAUUUUGUUGGGAGAUUGAGAUUAAUGAUGGGCAACAUCAAAAUGAUCAGAGUAGAAACUCGUUUUCAGUAAACAAACCUAGAGUCUAUUUAUUUAUCCAAAUCUUAUGCAAAAUUUGUUAAAGCCUUGAACUGGCAAACUUGGGCAGGAAAUAUUGCAAAGGCAACUUUUCCCGGUAAGAUUGUCCUUUUAAAUUUAUAUUCUUAAGAGGAUGCUUCCCACAUUUCUGGCUUUCUCUGGGUUCUGGCAUUUUAUUCUGAAUAUUAGCCAGAACCAGGAAUUGCACAGGUCUAUUUUUAAAACUGAAGGGACCUUUUAAAAAUUGAAAACACUCCUUUAUUACUACAAACAUAGUGUAUGUGUAUUAUAGACAGUUAAAAAUAAAAAUAAUAAGCAAAAAAUAAGAAUAUAAAAGUGCCAUUCUUAUGUCCAGAGAUUUUUCUUGCCAACCCUUCAUUGUAUAUCCUUUCAGACCCCUUUCUAAUUAUGCUUAUAUGUAUUUUUGUUCCUAGCAUGAAGUUAUACCUUAUUUGCAGUUUUUCUACUUGAUUUUUAAAAUCAAGGAUCUCUACCUUUCUAUGUACAACAAAUGCAUUUUCAUCUUAGCUAAUAAAUAAUACCCAGUUCACAUUCAUAUUUCCCGAACUGUCCAGAGGAACUUAAAAAAAUUUUUUUAAUUAAAUUCAAAGUCAAUCCUUGAUUACUAAGGAUAUUAUUCUAAAUAUUUGCCUGAAUCUGUCAGCUUCAGAGAAUUCCUGGGUGGUCUUUGGCAGGCCUGAUAGUUGGUAUUGACAAUCAUGUGGUUAAUCUGUCAUAUAGAUUAAUUGAUACUGAUCCCAGCCCUGGUGCUCUGGUGAAUUAAGAGACUAAAAUGAUUCCCAUUCUGUUAAGAAGUUCCUAAUAAACAUGAGAAAACAUAUAGGGUGAGAAAUAUAACAGUACUUGUAUUUGUAGCAUUUCACUUUCUUUUCUCCUACUUCAUGUGAUGCGCGAGUAUGGGUUAUCAUGGGAGCAAGUUAGAACCUUUAGAAAGGACCCAGGUAGUUGCUGCCCAUUAGUAUGUGUUCCAUAAAUGAAUUUUUUUUUGAGUUUUGUCCCUUAAAUGGUAUCCCAUGGCAGGAAAGAGUUACAGUUAUUCCCAAAGAGCCAAAAGUAGUCCAAGGGAGGAACAUUCUUUCUCUGGACUCUCAUCAGUUGAUGUUUAGAGGAAAGGAUUUAGGAGGCUGAAAAUAUGGCUCGUUGCCUAAGACACACAUAUUUUAUUCUUAAGAAACAAAUUUCUGGAAGAGAAGCACUAUAACCUUUAGAGAAAUGUGCCUAAUUUUCUUUUUAUCCUCACAUCCAGGUUUUUAAAUAUAAAAGUUUAAAACAUACACAUUAAAGAAAAUUAAAUAGAGAAAAAAGGCAAAUUAUCAUUGCUUUACCUUCCUGUGCAAUGACUAGCAAUUUUGAUAUGUUUCCUUGAGGUAUCGUUCCUAUGCAUAUGCCAUGGUUGAUAGUAACUAUGUAUUAAAUAUUGCUAUCAUAUACAUACUUCUAUAUAAGUACAUAUGCGUAUGUAAGUAUAUGUAAAUUUUCAUACACAUAUAAUAUGUACUUUUUAUUUUGUAUAUGCAUAUAAAUAUUUAAGUAUACAUUAUAUGUACUGUAUGUACAUAAACAUAUGUACUUAGCAAUAGUCAAGCAUUUUCCACUGACAACCGCAUUCUUUCUGAUCAGUAUUUGGUAAUGGUUACAUAAUACCUUAUUGCAGUAUUCAAUAAUUUAGCCUUUCCUCUCAAGGUGGAAAUAUAUUUUGUUCCUAUUCAGGAUCCAGCGUCUCCUGGCCCACCCACCUACCUUGCUUGAGACACUCUGUGGAGGGUUCUUCCUUUCCUUCCCCACCCGCUCUCAGGGCAUCGCUCCAGGAUCCACAUUCUAGAAUGUUCCCUCAAGGAGCCUGAUCCCAGGGGUCAAGCUUCAUUUUGGCUCUCUUGCUCUGCUCUCCACUGAUGGACUUGACAUUUUGAACUCUUCUUUCUUGUAAGUCUGCCUUGCCAGGAAGUUGGACUUAAGUUCUGUGUUCUUCGCUGCCUUUUCCCAACCCUGUCUGCAUCUUCCCAGCUAGUCUUGGGUUUAUAGCCUUCGGCCUGGGCCAGAGAGCUUGGCUUCAGCUCACCAUUGGAUAGGAAUCAGGGUGGCAGGGAAAGGUCACUGAAUCUCCGGUUUGUGCCUUUAUAAAUGAUGCUGGGAUGAGCAUUUUUGUUUUUUCAUAAAAUUUCCCCUCAUACUUAGGAUUAUUUUCUUAGGAUAGAAUCCCAGAAAUGGAAUUACUGAAUUUAAGAUUAUGACUAUUUUUAAAGCUCUUAAUAUUUAUCAUCAACUGAAUAUAGCUAAUAUUUAUUAACCAUUUCUGAGCCAUUAUCUCACUUAAUUCUCAGCCAGUUUUAUCCAUAUCUCCAUGAUGGAGGCAUAGAGGGGUAUAUGCAACAUGACAGUGUCUUAUUUUGAGCUGUCAUCGUGGCACCAUCAUUGUUUACUAUAAUUUAAAAGGCAGUAAUAGGCUUUGUUAAUGUGUUUACCUAAUUUUGUUUUCCUUUUCAUUCCUAAAUCUGUAUCAUAUGGAAGUUCUAGGCCAGGGGUUGAACUGGAGCUGCAGCUGAGGCCUACACCACAGCCAUAGCCACACUGGAUCCUUAACCCUCUGAACAGGGCCAGGGAUUGAACCCAUAUCCUCAUGGAGACCACAUCAGGUUCUUAACACUCUGAGCCACAACAGGAACUCUUACCUUGUUUUUUUGAGGGUGGUGGUGGUUACAGUAACAGGAAAGUUUCACUAAGUAAUUUUUUUUCUUUUAAAAAACAGCUAUGGGUUUUGUGGUAUUUUGAGUAUUAUUUGUACAAAGAUCCUCAAACAUGAACACAAGAUCCAUUUUAAACUAAAAGAUAGGAGUUCCCUUGUGGCACAAUGGGUUAAGAAUCCUGUGUUGUCACUGCAGUGGCUCAGGUCAACUGUCAACUGCUGUGACAUGGGUUCCAUCCCUGGCCCAGAAACUUCCACAUGCUGUGGGUGCAGC